GACGUAGGAGGCGAGCGUUGUCCGGAUUCAUUGGGCGUAAAGAGCGCGCAGGCGGCUUGGUAAGUCGGAUGUGAAAUCCCGAGGCUCAACCUCGGGUCUGCAUCCGAUACUGCCCGGCUAGAGGUAGGUAGGGGAGAUCGGAAUUCCUGGUGUAGCGGUGAAAUGCGCAGAUAUCAGGAGGAACACCGGUGGCGAAGGCGGAUCUCUGGGCCUUACCUGACGCUGAGGAGCGAAAGCGUGGGGAGCGAACAGG
rnacentral:rRNA from 1 species